rnacentral:misc_RNA from 1 species
UUUCCGUAGGUGAACCUGCGGAAGGAUCAUUACCGAGUUAGGGUUCGCUUCUGGCGGCCCGACCUCCCUACCCUGUGUCUAAUUUACCUUUGUUGCUUCGGCGGACCGGUCGACCAACUGGUCUCGACCGCCGGGGUUCAUCCCUGGAGAGCGUCCGCCGACGGCCUAACCACAAACUCUUGUACCAAACCAUGUCGUCUGAAUUUUACUUGAUUAUAAUCAAAAAAAACAAAACUUUCAACAACGGAUCUCUUGGUUCUG